rnacentral:rRNA from 1 species
GUGGGGAAUAUUGGGCAAUGGGCGAAAGCCUGACCCAGCAACGCCGCGUGAAGGAAGAAGGUCUUCGGAUCGUAAACUUCUAUCCUUGGUGAAGAUAAUGACGGUAGCCGAGAAGGAAGCCCCGGCUAACUACGUGCCAGCAGCCGCGGUAAUACGUAGGGGGCAAGCGUUGUCCGGAAUGAUUGGGCGUAAAGGGCGCGUAGGCGGCCUGGUAAGUAUGGAGUGAAAGUCCUGCUUUUAAGGUGGGAAUUGCUUUGGAUACUGUCGGGCGUGAGUGCAGGAGAGGUAAGUGGAAUUCCCGGUGUAGCGGUGAAAUGCGUAGAGAUCGGGAGGAACACCAGUGGCGAAGGCGACUUACUGGACUGUAACUGACGCUGAGGCGCGAAAGUGUGGGGAGCAAACAGGAUUAGAAACCCGGGUAGUCC